rnacentral:rRNA from 1 species
UGCACAAUGGGCGCAAGCCUGAUGCAGCCAUGCCGCGUGUGUGAAGAAGGCCUUCGGGUUGUAAAGCACUUUCAGCGGGGAGGAAGGCGGUGAGGUUAAUAACCUCAUCGAUUGACGUUACCCGCAGAAGAAGCACCGGCUAACUCCGUGCCAGCAGCCGCGGUAAUACGGAGGGUGCAAGCGUUAAUCGGAAUUACUGGGCGUAAAGCGCACGCAGGCGGUCUGUCAAGUCGGAUGUGAAAUCCCCGGGCUCAACCUGGGAACUGCAUUCGAAACUGGCAGGCUAGAGUCUUGUAGAGGGGGGUAGAAUUCCAGGUGUAGCGGUGAAAUGCGUAGAGAUCUGGAGGAAUACCGGUGGCGAAGGCGGCCCCCUGGACAAAGACUGACGCUCAAGUGCGAAAGCGUGGGGA